rnacentral:rRNA from 1 species
CAACGCCGCGUGGAGGAUGAAGUACUUCGUCGUGUAAACUCCUUUCGAUGGGAAGAUAAUGACGGUACCAUAGAAGAAGCCCGGCUAACUUCGUGC